rnacentral:rRNA from 1 species
UGAGGGAAUAUUUGGGUCAAUGGACGGGAGUCUGAACCAGCCAAGUAGCGUGCAGGAUGACGGCCCUAUGGGUUGUAAACUGCUUUUAUAGGGGGAUAAAGUGUGUCACGUGUGGCAUAUUGCAGGUACCCUAUGAAUAAGGACCGGCUAAUUCCGUGCCAGCAGCCGCGGUAAUACGGAAGGUCCGGGCGUUAUCCGGAUUUAUUGGGUUUAAAGGGAGCGUAGGCCGUCUUAUAAGCGUGUUGUGAAAUGUCGGGGCUCAACCUGGGCAUUGCAGCGCGAACUGUGAGACUUGAGUGCGCAGGAAGUAGGCGGAAUUCGUCGUGUAGCGGUGAAAUGCUUAGAUAUGACGAAGAACUCCGAUUGCGAAGGCAGCCUGCUGUAGCGCAACUGACGCUGAAGCUCGA